rnacentral:rRNA from 1 species
GCUGGCAGCUAUAUCACCCUACAGCUCUCAAAUUGCUACCCACUGAAGAUAAGCACGGUUGAGCCUGGUCAGUACCUGGAUGGGAGACUCCCUUAGAAAAACUAAGGUUGCUGCUGGAA